GAGCCAACAACCGGAAAGAAAAUACUUCGUUGCCGGAAGUCCCACCUUCGCGCGGCCGCCCACGUGACAAUCGGUCCGGUGCGCCUCGCUGGCCCACGCCGGCCGCUCUGCACCCUCCGGCCGCGUCUCGGUGGUAAGCCCGGCCUCCGUUGCCAGGGGCGACGGGCUCGCUUCCCGCCGGAGGCUGUGCCCGCGCGCUCAGCACCUCGUUCCCCAACGAGGUGACCGGAGAGGGCGGGACAAGCUCGCAGAGCCCGCGGAGGGAGCCCUGGCCCUGACCUUUCCCCUGCCCGAAAACCUUCCCUGGCUCCCGCACGCAGUUCAGGGUGGGGGCCGUGCAGGACCUUGAGGAGCCAGCCCCGCGACCAGCACCGCCGGUUACCCAGGCACAAGGGGCGCAGGAGCGAGGGCCUGGGGACCCACGGUGGCACAUCCCCUAGGGGCCUGGGUUACGGAGCUCUGACGUCACCUGAGAGCCUGCACAGUGUUGAGGGGGAGAAUCCGGUGCAACCUUCCACGACUUUGGUUUCCUUCGCGCUGGAGAUAAGAGCACCGCCCACGUCGGAGGACGAUUUUAAGCGCAAUGGUGCCCUUAGAACGCUUGCAGUAAAUGGAGCUCUUGAUGAUUUACUUCGUUUUGUUUGUUGAGAAUCAGCUCUGUACCAGCAAGGAAGAAAACACGAAAUCCUGGACCUCGCAGACCUCAUGACGUUUUCCAUGGGGUUGGGGACGGAAGACAGACGACAUGAAAAGUCUGGCAGAGUAGAAGAUGUCAGGUGCUAGAGAGAAAAAGUGCACAGUGGGAAGGGCGGAGCAGAUGGAGGAAAGAGGCCUGAACCAAGGAAUGCAGGAUGCUUCUAGAACCUGGAAAAGGCAAGGAGAUGGAGUCUCCCUGGGAGUCUCUAGAAGUAGUACAAUUCAGCCAACAGAUGGAUCUUAUCUCAGUAAGACUCACUUUGAUUUUUGUUCUCCAAAAUGGUAAAAAUAAAUUUGCAUUGUUUUAAGUCACUAA